CAGUCGCCGCGGGAAUACGAAGGGGGCUAGCGUUGUUCGGAUUUACUGGGCGUAAAGGGCGCGUAGGCGGGCGAUUAAGUCAGGGGUGAAAUCCCAAGGCUCAACCUUGGAACUGCCUUUGAUACUGAUUGUCUUGAGUCCGGGAGAGGUGAGUGGAACUGCGAGUGUAGAGGUGAAAUUCGUAGAUAUUCGCAAGAACACCAGUGGCGAAGGCGGCUCACUGGCCCGGAACUGACGCUGAGGUGCGAAAGCGUGGGGAGCAAACAGGAUUAGAUACCCGAGUAGUCCCUGUCUCUUAUAC
rnacentral:rRNA from 1 species